UAGGUUACAGGUGGCUGUAUGGCUUUUUGAAAUAAUCGCAGUUGCAUAUAAGCAUGCCUCAAGUUUAAAAUUUUACAUGCAAAAAAGGUUUAUAUUACAUAUGAAAAAUUAACAUCAGAUUUCCGCAAUUUCCCACAGUUAAUGUCGACUAACGCUGGAUGUGGUAGUCAUCGACACUCGACGAGCCUUUAGAUUUCUAACACCAAAAUAUUGUCUUGUGUUCGUUUAAAAACUACGAUAAUUACGUUCACAUGGUCGAUAGGAUAUGACAGGCGUUGUAUGAUUAGCACAUUAACCAAAGAUAAUUCUAGAGGGUCUUCUCAAGUCUAAGAAGACACAAUACAUAUAAAUAUUGGAUAAAUGUAAUUGUAAUAUAUUUUAAAUUAUGUUUAUCGCCUUGAUAACUGUAUGUAUAAUGAAUGUUGGACCUCUAAGCCAUAAUUUCAUAAUUCUUUUCCAAAAUCUUUUAUUCAAUACUUGUGCUAGUUAAAAUAAACAGCAACCGUGUUA